UGACUCGAUGGAUGUGAGUCUGGGUGAACUCCGGGAGUUGGUGAUGGACAGGGAGGCCUGGCGUGCUGCGAUUCAUGGGGUCGCAAAGAGUCGGACACGACUGAGCAACUGAACUGAACUGAUGGGGUGAAGGUGACACCUAAGCACCCCCACAUGCUCUGUGAGGUUGAAUGGCCCCCAUGGGAGUAAGGUGGCCACCAGAGGACACCAUGAACUUAAAAAUAGUGCAAGCAGUCUAUGCAAUAGUCACAGGAGAGCCGGGACACCUGUAUCAAUAUCCAUAUAUUGUACUCAUGGCUAGGGUUAGCUCAAGACCCUCCUCCUUGGACGAAGGUCUGUAUCCAGAAGGGAAAGGGAAAAAUAUUAAUGACACAAAAAUUAACUGGUGAUAAAAAAGAAAUUCUAUAGGAUUUGGAUGGGGAUGACCUGCCCCGCCCGCCACCGAGUGCUCCACCAGGACCGGAUGCCGCCUUAAUGCCCUACCCAGGGCCAGGUGAAGUUCCUGCUGCAGCCGCUGCUCCUCCACCAGCUUCCCCAGAGAUCGCAGCCCCGCCAUUCGGCAGGCUCCGGUCCCCGGUGGUAGGAGCCUGUGGUCAACGGCCUCAGGAUUCCGCCUAGGCCGGACCUCCUAGGUUGUACCCGCCCCUCCCAGUGAGUACAGACGAGAAGGGGGAAGGAAACACAGAAAUUAGACAGAGGCUGCGUUCCGCUCAGGAACACGGGUUUAAAACCCCCCACUGCAGCUGCCCCUCAGAGAGGUACAACAGCCCCUGGUCCAGGACGCAAAACACCACCACCAGCUUCCUGUAGCCUAUUAUUACCAACCAUUUUCCUCUAUGGAUAUAUUAAACUGGCAGAGACACACUCCACCGUACUCAGGGGAGCCACACGGUAUGAUUAGACUAAUGGAGACUAUUUUUUUCAAACCUACCGCACUACAUGGGAUGACAUAGUCCAGCCACUAGUCUCCCAUUUCAGCACUGAAGAAAGACACAGGAUCCUAACUGAGGCUAGAAAAUGGCUAGGAGAAAUGGCACCUGAGGGUACUGUAAACCCACAGCGGUGGGCAGAACAAGCCGCCCCGGUGAGAGGCCCAACUGGGACUGUAACACAGAGGAAGGGAGGGGCCGCCUGGAGAGAUAUGGGGCGGCUAUUUUACAAGGCCUCAAGAAGGGGGCGGGAAAACCUAUGAACAUGGCAAAACCCUCCAAAGUGAUUCAAAGGGAAACCAAAUCACCCUCUGAGUUCUACGAAAGACCGUGUGAGGCCUAUAGACUUUAUACACCAAUAGAUCCAGAGGCCACUGGGUCUCAGAUGGUAAUAAAUGCAGGCUUUGUGUCUCAAGCCUAUCCCGAAAAUGUCAGAUGAGGGGGCACCAAGUGACUUAUGAAUUUUUAUACAUCCCUGAAUGCUUAGUACCUUUGUUGGGAAGAGACUUACUGUCUAAACUGGGGGCACAAGUGGCCUUUUCCCCCCACGAAAGACCCACUCUUUGAGUGGGCUCAACCACCUGUUUACUCUCCCUCUCGGUAACCCCUCAAGAUGAAUGGAGGUUGCACCAUCUCCCAGAAAGGAAACCAGAUGGGCUAAACAGUCGAGAGAGAGAGAGAGAGAGAGAGAGAGAGAGAGAGAGAGUUGACUCCACAAUUCCCUGAGGUCUAGGCAGAAGACAACCCCCUCCCCCACCCCCCCCCACCCCCGCCCCGCCCCGGGCUUGCAAAACAUCAAGCCCCAGUGGUAAUAGAACUCAAACCCGGUACAAUUACAUCAGCACCAGCCUUGGGCAUGCCAGACCUUGAUAAGCUGUUUACAUGACUGAAAAGGACAAGGUGGCUAUGGGAGUGUUGACUCAGACCAUGGGGACAUGGGACAGACCCAUGGCUUAUCUUUCAAAAUGGCUGGACAGUGUUGCUACCGGGUGGCCGGGAUGCUGACGGGCAGUUGCUGAGGUUGCCUUACUGGUCCGGGAGGCAACCAAGUUGACUUUGGGCCAAGAUUUGAUCGUAAAAACCCCCCAUGAGGUCAACACUCUCCUGCGAGGGGACUCCCAUAAAUGGCUGUCGACAUUCUGGAUUACUCAUUGCCAGCGACUGUUAUGUGAGAAACCCGAUGUUACUAUUGAGCCUUGUCAGGCCCUAAAUCCGGCCACUCUCCUUCCUGUGGGAGAAGGUGGGCCCUCACAUGACUGCAAGGAAAUCCUAGAAAUUUAUGCCAGCAGACCUGACUUGAGAGACCAGCCAAUCCCAGACCCAGAUUGAGUCCUGUACACCGAUGGCACCAGCCUGGUGAAACAAGGGCAACAACUGUGAGGAUCUGCAGUAGUCACGGAAGAAACCAUCGCUGAGGCUAGCUCUCUGCCGUCACACUGGUCUGCUCAACGGGCUGAACUAUAUGCUCGAAUCCGGGCCCUCCAGCUGUCAAAAGGGAAGAAGACAAACAUUUACAGACUCCAGAAUGGAAUCCUGGAACUGUUCUGCUUGCUGACAGGUCAAUGCUGCCCCUGGACAUAAAAACCUCUAGGAAUACAGUUAAAAGGCACUCUACCCUUUGAACAUUUAGAAGUGUACUUUACUGAGAUGAAACCCUGCUGACACUAUCGUUAUUUACUGGUCAUGGUAUGUACCUUCUCAGGAUGGGUGGAGGCCUUCACCACCCAAACUGAAAAAGUAAAUGAAGUGGCUCUUUGAGAAAUAAAUCUGCUUUGAGAAAUAAUCCCCAGAUUUGGGUUCCCAACCAGUAUAGGAUCAGACAACGGCCCUGCCUUUGUAGCUGACUUAAUUCAACAGGUAUGUAAAGCUCUAAAUAUCAAGUGGAAAUUACAUACAGCAUCUAGGCCCCAGAGUUCCAGAAUGGUGGAAAGAACCAACUGAACUCUUAAAGAGUCACUUUCAAAAUGGAUCACAAAGACUGACUGUUCAUGGAUGGAUUUGCUUCUGGCAGCCUUACUCAAAUUAAGAGUAACCCUGCAUUCCCACGGUUAUUCUCCUUAUGAAAUUAUCUACGGGAGGUCCCCCCCUAUAGUGAGACAGGUGUCAACAAACUUGCCACAGAUAAGGGGAGGUGAGAUUUCACACAGAUGGAACAGCUGGCUAAGGUAAUAAAUCAGGUAACUAAGUUUGUGCAAGAAAGAGUGCCGUUCCCCCUUGGGGAACAGAUUCAUGAGUUCAUGCCUGGUGAUCAGGUGUGGGUCAAGGACUGGAAACACGACUCCUUGGCCCCACAUUGGAAAGGUCCAUAUACUGUUGUUCUAACCACACCUACGGUAGUUAAAGGUACAGGUAUCACUCCCUGGAUCCACCAUACGAGGGUGAAGAGAGCAUACCACACAGACCUGGAGGACGCCGAGUGGACUGUGCAGAAGGACCCCGCUGAUCCCCGUGAACCCAAGAUCAUCUUAAAGAAGAAGAGGUGAAGCUCUACAAUCACCUGCUGCUACAAGGACUUGCCGGUAUUAUCUUGAGACUAACCAUAGUUUCAGCACAAGGAGGGACCUGUGCUAUAAUUAAAGUUGAAUGUGGUGUAUAAAUUCCUGAUUUAUCUGGCAAUAUAUCAGCCACCCUAGAUGACAUGAAAGGUCAGGUAAAAGCUAUGACUGAUGAUAAUCUUCCUUUUUGGACUUUUGUUCUAUCAUGGGUAAAGGGUGAUUGGUGGAAAACUCUAUUAACCAUUGUUAUAGUUGUUCUGUUGAUUCUGUUAUGUGGACUUUGUAUUCUCCAAUGUGUUGUUAACUUUGUAUCACAGAGGCUGACUUCAUUUACCCAAAUAUAUACCAGGAAAUCUAAAAUGCAGUACAUUCUGAUGAGUGAUACUCACACUGGAAGUUGAGAGCAUCAAGAGGGGGUAAUGAAGGAAGAAAGGAAUAGGCCGAGCUGACUCCAUCUUAAAAAGAAGUAAAAUCCAUCUUAUAUUCACAGUGAAUUUUGGACUAUGUGCCUGGUAGCCAUGGAGAUCACAUACCUACGGCCGAACAGCCCUCCCAGACUGGUAGACACCAGAUUCCAUACCAAGAUUUCCCUUCGCCAGAAAGAAUGUAAUAAUCCCGUAUGUAGUCAAUCAACUUUGUAAUCUUUAUGGCACCCAUUGGUGUAGGUUACAAUGAAUAACCAGCUGACCCUUCUGAUUAUGAAUCAUGGCUAUAACCUGAUUGUAUCUCCCUUUAACAUUUUCCAGGCUAAGUUUAAGGAAUUUGGGGAUGUGGGCUUGAGCAUGUACACUUAAAGUAUAUAAGCUUUUCACAAAAGUUGGUCAGGGUCCCUGGCUAAAGAGGAAACUCUGCCUAGCACCCACCAGUGUAAUAAACUACACUCCACAAUCCACGCUGUCCUUCUGAGUGAGUUUGUUUCCCGGAGCAUUUCGGUAUAACAGAGUGGGUUGCCAUGUCCUCCUCCAGGGGAUCUUCCCAACCCAGGGAUUGAACCCAGAUCUCCUGCAUUAGCAGGCAAAUUCUUUACCACUGAGCCACAGGGGAAGCACAAUGGUCUGGGAGGGACUAAACCUGGUUCUGAAUUCUAGCUCCACUGUAACCACUUUGUGUUGUGAACUUGGGGAAGUGGCUUAAAUUUCCCUGGCCAUAGUUUCCCCACCUGUGAAGAUGAACUCAGUCUCUGAGGGCCCCUUCUCUUCUUUAUUUCUUCAGCUGAUGCUGAUGUGACAUUUGUUUUGACUCUUUCUCCUUUCCUAAUAAAUGCAUCUGGAGGGUACGAAUUUCCCUUUAAGAACUGUUUUGGCUGCAUCUCACAGGUUUGGCUAUCAGUGUUUUAAUUCCCAUUAAGUUCUAAGCACUCAGGUGUGAUGUAGUACCUAUUUUUUAAAAGAACUUUAUUGAAUUUGUUACAGCA